CAAGGUUGACCUCGGAUCAGGUAGGGAUACCCGCUGAACUUAAGCAUAUCAAU
rnacentral:rRNA from 1 species